GGGUUAAAAGAGUUCUGGGGAACUCUUACUAUAGACAUUUUUUUGUUAGAUUGAAAUUGCAUUGCAUUGACAUACGUAAGAAUGCUCGAAUGAAUUAUUAACUUUCAUUAUACUAUACAAAUGUUAUUGUACUGAAAUUUGUUAUAUGUAUGAUUUGGUUUAUGAUUCUGCACUAAUUUUAUUAUGAUAGAUAUUACAUUGAGCUUUAUAGCUCACCCCCC
rnacentral:lncRNA from 1 species